UACGGGGGGAGCAAGCGUUGUUCGGAUUUACUGGGCGUAAAGGGCGCGUAGGCGGUCUGACAAGUGGAAGGUGAAAUCCCCGCGCUUAACGUGGGAACUGCCUUCCAAACUGUUUGACUUGAGUCCGGGAGAGGUGAGUGGAAUUCCCAGUGUAGCGGUGAAAUGCGUAGAUAUUGGGAGGAACACCAGUGGCGAAGGCGGCUCACUGGACCGGAACUGACGCUGAGGCGCGAAAGCGUGGGGAGCAAACAGG
rnacentral:rRNA from 1 species